UAGAGAUCAAGGCGGGGUUUGUGGAGCGCGAAGUGGCUCCACCUCGCAGUGGUGGUUUGUUUGUUUUUACUAGCGGUUCUCCUUGGGAAAAAAUGCUCCGUUGUAAACAGGCUAAGAAAAGAUGUUCACAAACUGGAGCAUGUUCAAAAGAAAUCUGGUGAAUAAAAAGGGGCUCCAAAGAGAACAUAUAUACAGAAAAGGGAUAUCAUUAGGCUGAAGAAACAGAAGACCAGUGGACAAAUUGUCUUGAGUAUCUGAAGGGUUCUCAUGUAGAAGAUGGGUCAGAAUUGAUGCAGUAGAAUAUUGUUAUUGCUAUUAGGGGAUGUUUUCAUGGAGGAUCCUGCACUGGGCAGCAAGUUGAACUAGAUGAUUUUCAAGGUAUAGAAUGUCAUGAAGCAAGAAAGACACACAAAGUGGAGAAGCUGCGCGAUUUAAGCUUCCAUUUUGGGACCGAUCAAAUUACCAGAGAAUUUGGAGUUCAGAUGGCAAUAGGAAUGAGUCCCCCAGAACCAUCAGAACCUGAUGCGAAUUCUGCACCUCUGCAUAAGUGUUUACAAUCUCUGCAUGCCUUUGUGAAGAACACAGCAAUUACUGACAGCACCAGAUUAUAUGUAAUCUAUUCCGGAUGCUUUGAUUCCUACCUAUAGAGAUUUUAUGAGUAGAUAUAAUAGUACAUAUCAUGCCUAAACAAGUUGCUUAAGAAAACCGCAGCAAUAUUAUGUUUGACAGCUUUAAACUAUAAACAUCAAACAAAGUUUUGGAUAGGCCAACAACUCUCUGACAUUGUAUUGUUUGUUCCUUAUAUCAACUGUGAAAAGUGCACAGAAACAAAUUAAAAUCCUGCCCUGGCUGGAAGAUGUGUAUAGUAUAUAGACUCCUGAGAAGUUUUUGGGGGAAACCCUAGGGAUCCUAGGACCACACUUUAAGAAACACUCCUGCAAUUCAUGUUACAUGGGGUUGCCUUUGAAAAUGACCCAACAGUGUCCAAGAUAUUGGGUUAAGA